GACGAACGCUGGCGGCGUGCCUAACACAUGCAAGUCAACUUGACUGAAGGAGCAAUCUGACAGUAGAGUGGCGCAAGGGUGCGUAACGCGUAAGUAACUUGCCCAAGGUAAGGAAUAACGUCGAGAAAUCGGCGCUAAUACCUCAUAAUGCAGCGGAUCCGCAUGGAUAUGUUGUUAAAGGUUUACCGCCUUGGGAUAGGCUUGCGUCUGAUUAGCUAGUUGGUGUGGUAACGGCACACCAAGGCUACGAUCAGUAACUGGUCUGAGAGGAUGAUCAGUCACACUGGAACUGAGACACGGUCCAGACUCCUACGGGAGGCAGCAGUGAGGAAUAUUGGGCAAUGCUCGAAAGAGUGACCCAGCAACGCCGCGUGGAGGAUGAAGGUAUUCUAUAUCGUAAACUCCUGUGAGAGCAGACGAAAGACAGAUUAUAAUCUGGAUGACUGUAUGCUCAGAGGAAGCCCCGGCUAACUACGU
rnacentral:rRNA from 1 species